CAAAAUCUGUAGCACCUCUCCUUACCAAGCUAGCAUCGAGAGAAAACAGAGAGAGUGAGAAAAGAGAGCGAAACUGAGGAAGUGAGAGCAGGGGCUUGGUUGGUUUCUUCACCAAUUAACCCAGGCACAAGAAGAAAUAUCGCAAGGAAAGUAAGGGAGGCUGGAGCUAACACUCGAGGGAACAAAAGUUGGGAAGAGAAACUGAUUACGUCUGCAAUUCCUAACACUUAAGGCCAGAGGGAGUAGCUGUGAGCCCGGAAUCGAACCCGAAGCUCGAGAGCAAUUUAUUGGGGUUUUGGAGUUGAAGUUUGAAGGACAACCAAGUAGAGUUAAAGUGUUUUGGGAGGUCUAAUGUUAUAUAUUGAUGUUAAGACCUGCAUUUU